AGUGGGGAAUUUUCCGCAAUGGGCGAAAGCCUGACGGAGCAAUACCGCGUGAGGGAGGAAGGCUCUUGGGUCGUAAACCUCUUUUCUCAGGGAAGAAGCAAUGACGGUACCUGAGGAAUCAGCAUCGGCUAACUCCGUGCCAGCAGCCGCGGUAAUACGGAGGAUGCAAGCGUUAUCCGGAAUGAUUGGGCGUAAAGCGUCCGCAGGUGGCACAUCAAGUCUGCUGUCAAAGCCCCCAGCUUAACUGGGAAGAGGCGGUGGAAACUGGUGAGCUAGAGAGCAAUAGGGGUAGAGGGAAUUCCCGGUGUAGCGGUGAAAUGCGUAGAGAUCGGGAAGAACACCAGUGGCGAAAGCGCUCUACUAGGUUGCAACUGACACUGAGGGACGAAAGCUAGGGGAGCGAA
rnacentral:rRNA from 2 species